AUUCCGGCUGAUAGUUCGAAUGCAACUGAAUUAUUUAAAGACAAUGCCUAAAGUUAGAUUUACGUAAAUGUUUGUGUUAAGAGUGUGCCAUAGUUUUGAAGGCAAUUAAGUACAUGUGCCCAUAUUGUUUUGACUACGCAUUUGAGUGCGCAACUGCGCAGCUGGUAAUUUGAUCUACCUUUUUCAUGGGCCGAUGCUGUAGGAUCAACAUUUUUCUCAAUUCUUUUGUGAGUACAAUACAUAUAAUCAACAGCUGAUAACUCCAACUCUGUCACUGAAAAUAUUAUAGCGUUACCUUAUUGCAAUAUUUGGACUUAGUACAUAGGAAAAAAAGAUUAAAAAUUCUUUAAUUAAAUUAAUGCUUUCCUUAUUACGAUACAAUACAACUAGUAAUAAUACAAAAAUUAAUGAAAAUAGCGUCAAUUAAAAGAAGGCUGUAAAGGUCAGUUCAUAUGCUCAUAGAGGGCGGAGGAGUUUAACUACGUCUGUCAAAUAUCAGUUAUUUCUUAAUACAAACGAUUUAUUAUUAGCGAGGAAGAAAUUGCACGAAAUUCGUUGUACAAAUUUGUUCUAAACAGAUUUAACAUCGCUAAAAGGAAAUCGAUCAUGCUAAAGUGGAGGGAAAAACAGAGAUCUUUUCAAUUCGAGGAAUGGUGUUUGUUUUGUACGUUUCAUUUGACGUUCAGCGACAGGACUAAUUUAUUAUAGCGAUCUAGUGGACAAGCGAACGGGAUUAGAUUUUUGCGCAAUCCUCGUUUGUUGAUAAAGGAAGAAGUUCUAUUGCGAGAGGAAAUGCUUAGCUAGAAUGUUAUUCGCGAUUUUCGAAUUUCACUUAAAAAGAAUUUUUCUUUUACUUUUUCAAUAAUGUAAAGUUCUUUAAUUAUUUUUAUUAAAUAUCUUUUUACUUUUUCCAUUAGAGGUUAUGUGAUAAAAGUUAAAUAAUUGUUAAACUCGCUUAUCACUUCUGUUUGCAAAUAAUUGUCAGUCAUUUGUAGACGAUGAAAAAGGUAAAUCUUUUAUUCUUUUUAAAUUUUCGUUUCACUGUUUCAACAAAUCUUUAUUUAUGUAACAUAAAGCUUUUUCAUUGUUCUUAUUAAAUUUUCUUUUUACCCAUUUUUGGAAAGACCAAGAAAUUAAAUUCUUUCAUUAGAGGUUAUGUGACAAAAAUUAAAUGCACAAUUGAUAAAUUUGCUUAUAUUGUUCCCGUUUUAAAAUAAUUAUCAGUCAUUAAUGGAUCAUGAAAAUAGUAAAUCUUCCAAUUUGAUAAAGAUAUUACUUUAGAAAGUUAUAGUGGACUAAAACAGAAUGUCUUCUUUCGCAAGACGACGAAGAGUUUGAAGAAGAUAAAUUUGACUUAUAUAGAAUUACGUCAUCGACUGAUUAUUGUGUUUCAAGUUAUGUAUUUAAGCUUGAUAAGAAGAGUAUAAAUUAUUUCACGAUAUUCUAUUAUGAAGGAGACCGCCCGGUUUAGCCGAGAGGCAAUGGUUCAAUUAAUGGUGAUUUCUUUUAAUUACAUUUUUUUACAGAUAAGAAUAUUACAGCGUGUACUCGUCCCUGAGUGAUCUCCCGAUGCAAACAUUCUAGCGUUCUCAUUCUAAACAAGAUUCAAUUGUCGUGUCGAUAUUCUUGUAGUUUAUGUUCAGCUUUACCAUUAGCCAUUUUAUCAUGCAUUAAAAUUGAAUGUGAGAAAACUCCACUUCAGCAGGAUUUCAUGAUUUGUUCAAAGGAAUUUUGUCAAACUUUAAUAAAUUUCUUCAAACAGAAAGAGAUCUCAUGUUACCAGAGUUAUAUGUGUAUCUAUAUAUACAUUUAAAACAAUAUAAACAAUUUUAAAUUAACAAGAAAAAAAAGUAGUAAAAGCGAUCGGAGGCAAAUAUCGAAACACAGUCCUUAACCCCAUUGAGGGUGAUAAAAUUGAUAAAAUAUAUGAUGUGUGAACAUUAUCUAUAGAUACAUUCUUAUCGCCUUUUCGCCCGUUUAAAUACAUAUAUUGGUUUUCUUGCUCAAAAGAAAUAAUCUAAUGCUUGUUUUAUAAAAGAAAAGGAAGACAGGAUUAACAUAUAAUGUACAAUAUACACGCAUACCCAUUCCUACAGUAUACGGAUGAUGUCAUGCCCAGAAAUGUUGAUAAGAACGAGAGACUUGUUGAGGAAGAUUCUGAAAAUACUAUUAAAAAGGAGUAUAACAAAGAAGAAGAAACGUUAUCUUUUUGUGAAAAAGUUAAUUUAUCGUUGAGCUUUUGGAAAUAUUUCAUACUAUUUAAAAAUUAGAUAAAAAGAUAUUAAGAUAUUCAUGAAUUGUGUAGAAACUCGAAAAUAUAACGACUAUUUAUUAGUGUUUAUUUUGGACUUUUUAUAUGCAGAGCUUAAAAAGUAACUAAAGAUUACUAAAAAUUCACCAAAACAGGAACGACUUCUUACUUAAGAAAUUACAAUUUUAUUUGAAAUGAUUGUUAAAGAAUUUUUAGAAAGACUGCUUUAUAUUUGAAAAGAAGAUCCAAAGAAAGAUGUUAAAAAAGUGCCAAAUUUGUGUUGGUACAUGUUCUUUUAUUGGAACUAGACGAAAACUGAAUCCAGUACAAAUUACUUCGUCGCGUACAGCUUAUGGAGAGAAUAGAUUGCACAUGUGCAGUCAAGAAUUCGUAUUUACGCUAUCCACUUUUGUUCCACUCUUCAAACAUUCAUUUACGUCCGCUUGUCCGCUUCUUAUAUAUAGUUUGAGCUGCACUGUCACGCCUAUUUUAACUGUAUUCGUUUACAUGCAUCUGCAGCACACGAAGAAGCAUUGAGAACAGAAGAAAAGAAGAUUUUUUUAAAAAAUUAGCGUAUUGCUUAGUCAAAAUUGAUCAUUCAAGAAGAGAUCAUAAGAUCGUAAGGAUGGUUCAAGAAAUCAUAAUAUGACCAUUUAAGCGUAUAUGCAAGGAGUACAAGGUCAUCAAGUAAAACAGAUUCUGAGAACCUAAAUUGAUCUGUGGCUUCUUCCCUUUGUGUUAAUUCACAAGAUGUUGAAAACUGAAAGAUAAACUAUCUUUGUUUAUAGAGUUGAUGCAUUAUUUUCUUUAGAAAUAUCAGAUAUUUGUAAUUCUGUAGGAAAUAUUAUACCUCAGACUUGAAGACUUAAAGUAAACAUAGGAUCAUAUGCUUGAGUGACUUUUUCGCGUGGAAUAAUCUAAAAUACAAUAACCUGUGUAUAUAAUAUGGCUAUCCGAUAUAUGUAUUAAUACAACAUACACGCGAUUCCUUUCAUCUUUGAUGAAACGCGAUCCUCCAAUUACCUGGAAAAAUAUACUCACGUACAUAUCUUUGAUUAAAAGCUAUUGCUUCCAUACCAUUAAGACAGUCUAUCAUCAUAGAACGUCAUAAAGUUUCAAUUGACCCGCUGUUGCGCGAUUUUUCUUAAUCAUGCCAGAGUUAAUUAUCUGACUGCUUCUGAACUACGAUGAUUUCUUGUAUCUUUCAAGUUCUGAAUAUAAGGACGAGAUUUUUUCCAAGAGAAAGAAGAAAAUAAACAUAGAAAGAUUUAAGAAAAGGAAAGGUAAAAUUUAAUAGUAGAAUACUUAAAAAAAAUGUUUAGUUUCAGGAAUUUUCAAUCUUCAAUUUCUUAAAAUUAAAAUUUUUCAACUUCAAACAGGAAAAUAUAUUAAAAGAAUGUUUUUAAAUCAACAGGAAAACCAAUAACCAACGGAUACCAUUAAAUAUCUAAAAAUGAAGAUAUAUACCAGCUAGACCAUAUUUACACUAGACAUAAACAACCAAUGUAAUUCCUCACUUCCCACGUACAUUCGCGCUAGAAAUAUUCACAGUCUACAUCAUGAAUAUUUCCCGAUUACUAGUGUAUCCAAAUUUCCCUGUAAUUCGCCUAGGGACAUCAUAUGCAUUGAUAGAUUAUCAUGCAUUUUUGUAUAUAACCAUCAAUCUCUCUCUGAGGGACUAAGUUAUACGAUGAAAGGGGAAAAAGAACAAAAGAAGAAAAAAGUAGUAGAUGUUAAAGAAGCAGCCACUUACAGGACCG